UUCUAAACCAAUAUCCAAUCCCUAACCUACUCUGAGUAAACCCAAACAAAUUUAACUCCAACCAAAAACUUGUCCAAAAAAAUUCAAAAAAGGAGAAGAUUGAGAAUGAACCCUAGAUCUACUAGCCACCGCGGUAUUCAUCUCUUCGCCAUUGUCACUCAGUCAUCAAGCUCACCGUAGCAUCUGAGAUCAGAGGGAGAGUAACCGGCGAUGCCUGCGACGCCAUCCUUGCCGAGGUCCAAGAGCAGGUUUCCAUCCUCAACUCCACUUUCUCAUGGAAGGAGUCAGAUCGAGCCGCCGCCAAGCGCCACUCACGCGCUCGCCGAUCUUGCAAAAAACGAGGAAGUGGUGAACGUGAUUCUUGAAUGAGGAGCUAUUCCGGCUUUGGUUCAGCAAUCAGCACCUCCAAGCUUCUCUCGUGACGGAAGAAGACCUCGUUCAGAAGCUGUUGCUGUUUGAGCAUGAGGUUGAGAAAGUGAGUGCUUUUGCACCUGGACUUCUUGCCGCUGUAGUUGCCGCGUUGAAAGCUUCUGAAUCGAGCCACUAUUUCAGUCUGUUUUCUUUUCUUCUUCAGUUUUCAUUUGUUUUCGUGUGGAGUGAUUCCUGUGGUUAAAGUUCUCUGACUCCAGUUAGUUACUAGAUAAAAGUAAAGCAUUUAAUUUACUGAACUAUUUUAUCUAUGUAUCUUCCAUUUUGGUUCCUUACUCUCCAAAUCAGAUUUGACAGAAGCUGGUAACUGGAGUUAAAUUUUGGAGCUGAACACUUUCUUUUCUUUUUGUUUUUACAUCUAUAUAUUUUCAGAAAUCAGGUUCAACAUGAAAACAUGUCCAUAGAUAUUAUAGAAGUGUUCUGCAGGUGGAAAAGAAUCUAAAGGGUUCCAGAGAGAAGCAACAAUUCUCCAUAGUCUUCAAUAACUUCUAUAUGUGUGGUGGAAACUGCAGGUGGAGUUGCGAGUCCUGGUGCUUCUGGAUCACUUUAAUGUGACUUAUAUAGGUCCGCUAUUUGCACAUUUCUGGAACAGUUUCUGCUUAUGAGAGCUUGACCCUUCGAGGUUAUGAUGUUGUUGCUGUUGUUUUGGGAGAUCACAGCCUUCUAAAAGAGGGUCGAAUAAUGUCUUAUAUGCGGAACAAGCUUCCUAUUCUAGUGCUACCCUCUGUUCCAAAAGUUUUCUUUCUAGGCCUUAUUGGAGGUGUUACUUUCCAAUUACUCAAGCAAUAAUCUAUGUUGUUGAUUCAAGUGAUACCGAUAGGCUUGUGAUAGCUAAGGAAGAGUUCCAUGCUAUUCUGGAGGCUGACUCUGAAGUUCACAUACACUGGAAAGGUGCUACUGAGAUUGUCCUAGCCUGUUGUCCACGGUACAUUGAUGCAAAUGACCAAUUGAUAGACAUGGAUGAGGAAAAGGAUCCUUGUCGACCUGGAGUCAAAGAUUCAGUGGAGCUUUGCCAAAAAUAUGGGGUUAAGGUUGUGAGACGGGGACGUUCUGUGUAUGCAAAUAUUCAGAAAUUUAUCUAGUUUCAGCUUACAGUAAAUGUAGCAGCUCUUGUUAUAAAUGUUGUUGCUGUUGUUUCCUCUGGUGAUGUCCCACUGAAUGCAGUGCAGAUUUUGUGGGUGAAUCUUAUCAUGGAUACUUUGGGAGCACUAGCAUUGGCAACUGAACCACCAACUGACCAUCUUAUGGAUUGGGCCCGAAGGUCGGAACUUCAGUUUCUCUAAUUGUGCCUUUUUUUUUCUUUGGAUCAUGACAUUUUCUUGCUAUGUUUUUCUGGUGUUACAGCACCUGAAGAAUAUUGAAAUAUUAGAAUAUUGAAAUAUUGAAGUUGUUUUUUUUUUA